CUGAAAUCAGGCGGGAUUACCCGCUGA
rnacentral:rRNA from 1 species